rnacentral:rRNA from 1 species
CGGGCGUGCCUAUACCUGCAAGUCGAGCGGACAGAAGGGAGCUUGCUCCCGGAUGUUAGCGGCGGACGGGUGAGUAACACGUGGGUAACCUGCCUGUAAGACUGGGAUAACUCCGGGAAACCGGAGCUAAUACCGGAUAGUUCCUUGAACCGCAUGGUUCAAGGAUGAAAGACGGUUUCGGCUGUCACUUACAGAUGGACCCGCGGCGCAUUAGCUAGUUGGUGGGGUAAUGGCUCACCAAGGCGACGAUGCGUAGCCGACCUGAGAGGGUGAUCGGCCACACUGGGACUGAGACACGGCCCAGACUCCUACGGGAGGCAGCAGUAGGGAAUCUUCCGCAAUGGACGAAAGUCUGACGGAGCAACGCCGCGUGAGUGAUGAAGGUUUUCGGAUCGUAAAGCUCUGUUGUUAGGGAAGAACAAGUGCGAGAGUAACUGCUCGCACCUUGACGGUACCUAACCAGAAAGCCACGGCUAACUACGUGCCAGCAGCCGCGGUAAUACGUAGGUGGCAAGCGUUGUCCGGAAUUAUUGGGCGUAAAGGGCUCGCAGGCGGUUUCUUAAGUCUGAUGUGAAAGCCCCCGGCUCAACCGGGGAGGGUCAUUGGAAACUGGGAAACUUGAGUGCAGAAGAGGAGAGUGGAAUUCCACGUGUAGCGGUGAAAUGCGUAGAGAUGUGGAGGAACACCAGUGGCGAAGGCGACUCUCUGGUCUGUAACUGACGCUGAGGAGCGAAAGCGUGGGGAGCGAACAGGAUUAGAUACCCUGGUAGUCCACGCCGUAAACGAUGAGUGCUAAGUGUUAGGGGGUUUCCGCCCCUUAGUGCUGCAGCUAACGCAUUAAGCACUCCGCCUGGGGAGUACGGUCGCAAGACUGAAACUCAAAGGAAUUGACGGGGGCCCGCACAAGCGGUGGAGCAUGUGGUUUAAUUCGAAGCAACGCGAAGAACCUUACCAGGUCUUGACAUCCUCUGACAACCCUAGAGAUAGGGCUUUCCCUUCGGGGACAGAGUGACAGGUGGUGCAUGGUUGUCGUCAGCUCGUGUCGUGAGAUGUUGGGUUAAGUCCCGCAACGAGCGCAACCCUUGAUCUUAGUUGCCAGCAUUCAGUUGGGCACUCUAAGGUGACUGCCGGUGACAAACCGGAGGAAGGUGGGGAUGACGUCAAAUCAUCAUGCCCCUUAUGACCUGGGCUACACACGUGCUACAAUGGACAGAACAAAGGGCUGCAAGACCGCAAGGUUUAGCCAAUCCCAUAAAUCUGUUCUCAGUUCGGAUCGCAGUCUGCAACUCGACUGCGUGAAGCUGGAAUCGCUAGUAAUCGCGGAUCAGCAUGCCGCGGUGAAUACGUUCCCGGGCCUUGUACACACCGCCCGUCACACCACGAGAGUUUGCAACACCCGAAGUCGGUGAGGUAACCUUUAUGGAGCCAGCCGCCGAAGGGGGCUGUGU